UUACCUGCCACCAGCUUGCGGAUGCAGGGAAGCGCCACCUCGUGCUCGCUGUGGAGGAAGGGACGGGAAGAGCCGGGGGCCUGCGAGAGAGCGGGAAGAGCUGGAAGCUCCCCCCUGGGAAGGGCAAAGGGGCCGGACCCGAGCCCCCGCCGCCCUGUACCGGCUGGUGCUGGGCCCUCGUCCCCCCACCGCGUCCCGCAGCAAGGAGUUCCCCGCGUGAACGCAGUGGUUCUGCAGCCGGGAGGAGGAUGCUGCACUCCACAGUGGAGAAGAAACCCCACUGAUGUGAUAGGGGGGAUGAAGAGCAGCCCCAGGGCAGGGGGUUGGAACCCUCCCUGAGCCUGUUGGGGCUGAAUUCCCAGGAUGAAGGGAAGGAAAGAGGCACGGCCGCUGCUCAGGGCUUCAUUAGUCGAACGUGGUUUAUUGUCAGUGAGUCUAUGGUAGCACAAAGGAAGGACGCAGUGUCCAGCCGGCCCGCGCCGCGCCGGCCGCUGCUCCCAAGGAGGAACAAGACAAGAAAUCACCAACCGAGUGUUUAAUUGAACAUGAAACCAAACCAAAUGCGAUAAAAUGAAGUCUUUUUGGUGAAUAAAACAAUUGCAGAAUUAA